AUGCUUAAGGCCCGACCCAAAGCUCUAUGACUCUUAAGUCUUCUCUCUGAUCUCUACUUUCUACCAUUUCGUUUACCAAUUUUGUGAUUACUCAAUUCCUCGUCAUUUUGAUUUUCCACUAAGCUUCAUCUCUUCCCCUCUUCUCUUCAGCCAUCUCGAGUCCCAACCCGUCCGGCCAUCCUAGAUCAGCAAAUUCCCAUCAGCCAUCGUUGUCUCUCCCAGACGACAGACCCUAGUCAUAGUAGAUUCGCCAAUUCUUCUUUCCCAUCGCAUAUCAUAGUCGAUCUCAAUACCCUUUGGUCGUGCAAAACCAUAGAUUCUGCAUCUCUUUAGCGCCGAGUGACUUCGGCAUCCUGUGACUUCGUCUUUCGAUGACUUUGGCGUGCUUCAUUCUGACUCUCAAGGUAUCCGCCUCCUUCGAAACCCUAGAACUACAUAUUUAAGGAGAGUUGGGGGAGAAGCAGAGAGAGAGAGAAGCGAUCGGCUCUAUUUCCCUAUCAUAUCUCGAGGUGACUUCGCUCUCCUUGGAGGCAAGACUCCAGCACCUCGACGGAGAGCAGCGCGCCAGCGACCGCGCCAAUGCCCGCGCCGCGGAACAGCCCCGUCUCCGUGGUCUGGCCUUUGAGCGCGCCUGAAAUCGACCCUAUCAAGGCUCCACCUGCUCUCCAAGAGUCGAGUUAUUGCCCACCAAAUUAUACUUCAAGAAGAAAGAAUCAAGAUUGAAGAUUGAAUGGGAAACACUGAGAUCUUUGGUUAUUAGAUAGAUGAAUCUCCUUUCUCCAUUACAAACCUUUUGGAAAGACUCUCUUUGUAGUCUGGAAUCCAAUCCCCAUGGAUAUUAUGCCAAAUUAUGCAGUGAAGUUUGAAGUGUUGAAUGAAAGUGGUAUGUAUAGCUUUUCUUUGAGGUGCAAGCUAGUACACAAUGAGUAAAAUAAUUGGUUUUUACAGAAUUCAAAGGUUAGAUACACACAGAGAGAGUUCUUACACAGUGCAAAGGUGCAGGUAAGGCCUGCAAAGGCUACCUUCCUCAACGUAUUCAAGCAAAAUCCAGCUCCAAAACCAGAAAGCUUCCACCAACAGCCAUCCAUUUUUUCAGAUCUUGGAGAAGUAGAGAGCUGCCCUUCUACUCCUCCAAGAAAAAACUCCUCACUUAUAUAGAAACCAAGCGCAAGACAGUGAGACCCAACCAAAGAAAAGAAAAACCAGAGGAAUGCAAGCAGAAGAAAUCAACUGGGAAGCGUGGAAGUAGAAAGGAGCGCAGCCAUGAGCUAUGGACACAGGACGAGACGGUAGAGAGUAGCCCACUACCAGUCUGGUUUUGCGGACUUUCGAGGGGCGUGCCAGAACCUUGGAAACCCCAAAACCAGGUGCCCAAAUCAGUGGGCCGGUGGGGAGGGUGGUACCCGUCGAGAUGGGUCAUUUGCUACUUGCCGCAGAGGGUGCCCAAACAGGAUUGGCUUCUUCAAUGUCACUGAAAAAUUUGGAAUGGGAGUAGGCAGCGGCUGCCUUCACUUGUGGCCGCACUUUUUUCAGAAUGAGUUGUAAAUUGGCUAUAAGACAACAAGGUAGUUGUGCCAAAUGAUGCUGUAAGCCUGAUUCUUUUA